AAUGUUAACACAAAAUACCAAAACAUGGAUGCAAUCAAAUAGAAAAUUAGGCCCCCCCUUCCCCCCUAUUUUGAGGAUCAGAUGGUACAUCCCAGUCUCUCCUCCUCUCCUUUUUAUUCUCCUCCCUCCUGUUCUCAGUGUCCUCCAUCUCUCUGCCUUCUGUCAUUUCCUUGCACUGAGGACACUGUAACUUUCAGAGACUGCUGUGCUUCACCGUCCAUCUAUUGCACUUGCAAUCUCUACUGAGCUGCCAUAAAGUGAAGCGGCACAGAGCUGACCUUAUAAAGACUCCACCAGACCAGACCACACCUUUGUCUCAGAGUCCAUGGAAGCCAAGACCAAGUCCGGGGCUCCAGCCCCCAAGGCAGCUUCUAAAGCAGAGAAGAAAGAGCCAGCAGCCCCACGCAAGGCUGACCCUGCCCCUGCAGCCCCUGAGCCUGAGCAUCGCCCUCCCUCCGAGGAUGGAGCAGCAGAAGCUGAAACAGGAGCAGGUGACGAGGCAGCGGCCUCCGGCACAGACUCUCUGGAACACCUGAAACCCUUUCUCAUCGGUGGUGCCGUUAUUGCUGCAGGAGCCAUCUUACUGGGAGUGUUGCUACUGGCAAGGAGAAAUUAAAACCCUAAACUUAGAGUAUUUAUUGGUUGGUGAGUUAGUGUGUGGAUGCUGGUUGGUUCACAGACUAUCACGGUACAGAUGGGGAUGGGGAGCCACUGUGCAUUUUACUUUUCUUUAUCUGUUUUUCUGGCCUGCUUCCACUUGUAGUGAAUCAAACCAUUCAAGUUCUGAUCACCGCUGUAAAUUUAGCACAAUUAUACAUAGUACUAUAUGCAUGAUAUCGCUACAAUACUGCAUCUGAAAUGUAAUUAUCUACUUCUUAAAAAAAUAACUUACACUGUAUUACUGAGCUAAAAAGUCUAAACUCUCCUAAAGGUAGCUUAUUCAACUGCUUUAUCUUGUUUAAUCCAGUUUGCACAAAUGUUGAAUUGAUGUUGCAAUGUUUGUACAUUCUUGCACUGGAAAUUAGCUAGGUUCACUUAGCUAGAAGACGACGAAAAACUGUACUUGUAAUGUCGGAACUUACGGUAUCGGCUAUCAGAGUUUUAGGGUUUAUUUUACUUGCAAAUAAGUCAGUGGAGACAGUUGAGAGGAGGGUGGAGAACAGCUGGGAUUAUGCACUAUGACAUAUUGCACAUGUCUAGGCUAAACCAAUGUAUAACUGAAGGGCAUUGAGCACAUGGUAAAAUACUUUGAGUCCCUGUAUAUAAAAAAAGUCAGAUACAGAAUGGCGUUGUGCAAUUUCAAAACAUCUUCAGAGACAGAACGUAGAAUAUAAGCAUGCAGCGGUUGAGGAUUAGCAUGUAAUGGGAUUGUUGGACAUAAAAUAUGUACACUAAAGAACUGAGAAAAAUAGUGAAGUUACUGUUGCUGUAGGAUAAUAAAAAAAAAAGAUUUCUUUUAUUGUCUAAUCAUAUCACAAAUCAAUAACUUUUCAUGUCUUUUACAUCCGCUGCUUCAGGCUGUUUACAUCUUAUAGUAGAUGCCUAGCUGUAGGAGGCUCAACAGCCGUUAAUGUUGCAGUGUCAUGUUUGAAACCUGCUACCAAAACAUGGGAGUUGCUUCCAUCUACACUGUGCUCCCCAUGUAUUUUCAAAAUCUCAUUCUCAAAACCUCAUUAAUAAGUAAGUACAACUACAAUGUAAUGAGAGCAUCCAAGGUUGCUUAUACAAUGAAUGUUGGUGUAAAAAGAAAUACUGUCAUGUAGUUUACUCAAACAGAAAAAAAUGUUAAGCUGUCGCAAUUUUGUUGCUGCGCACAAUCAAUCAUACAUGUGUACACACUAUUUUCAUUUCACGUUGGAAAACUCAUGUGGUAGUCCCUGUUGCAAGUAGGUAGCAGAAAGACACUUCAUUGCUUCAUUUUAGUUGUAUAGUUACAAAUAAUUCUAUACAUUACUGGCUAAAAUAUUGUAUGAGCAUACCACAUUAAUCAUUCACCCCAGACAUUUCCAAAAGAUAGUAUUCCAACACCAAAACAAACUUCACCUUACAUUGUACAAUACAGUGUACCAAAAAAAUAUAAUAAUAAUCCUAUUUUCAUAAUUUCAACAGCGUAUAAAUGCAAUAAUUCAGAUAGGUCUCCUCAUUUAGCACAUGUGCUGUAGCAAGUUAAAUUACAUUAACAAUGUAAUAGUGUGCGAUGCUAGAAAUGGAAAUGGUGGUGAUAUGGAGGUACAAGAAAUGACGAUGGCGAUGAUGAUGCUUUUCAUGGUGAUUGUAAUGAUCAGGAUGAUGGUUAUGAUAUAUUUUUUAUAUAUUUCUAACAUACUUUCCUUAUGCACUCUCCCCUCUGCCCCAAACUUCUAAAUGUACAAAAGAGUUUGAAAUCCAACCUAAUUAAAGGAAGUGAACCAGC